rnacentral:rRNA from 1 species
UACGGGGGGGGCAAGCGUUGUUCGGAAUUACUGGGCGUAAAGGGCGCGUAGGCGGCCUGCUAAGUCGGACGUGAAAUCCCUCGGCUCAACCGAGGAACUGCGUCCGAUACUGGUGGGCUUGAAUCCGGGAGAGGGAUGUGGAAUUCCAGGUGUAGCGGUGAAAUGCGUAGAUAUCAAGAGGAACACCGGUGGCGAAGGCGGCCUGCUGGGCAGUUGCUGACACUGAGGCGCGACAGCGUGGGGAGCAAACAGG